rnacentral:rRNA from 1 species
ACGAACGCUGGCGGCGUGCUUAACACAUGCAAGUCGAACGGAAAGGCCCUGCUUUUGUGGGGUGCUCGAGUGGCGAACGGGUGAGUAACACGUGAGUAACCUGCCCUUGACUUUGGGAUAACUUCAGGAAACUGGGGCUAAUACCGGAUAGGAGCUCCUGCUGCAUGGUGGGGGUUGGAAAGUUUCGGCGGUUGGGGAUGGACUCGCGGCUUAUCAGCUUGUUGGUGGGGUAGUGGCUUACCAAGGCUUUGACGGGUAGCCGGCCUGAGAGGGUGACCGGCCAAAUGGGGAAUGGGAAAAGGCCCAGGCCCCCAGGGGGGGGAGGAGGGGGGAAUAUGGCAAAAGGGGCGGAAGCCGGAUGGAGCAACGCCGGGGGGGGGAUGACGGCCUUCGGGUUGUAAACCGCUUUCGCCUGGGACGAAGGGGGGGGGAGGGUAAGGGGUAAAAAAGCACCGGCUAACUACGU